GUCUAUGUCUCCUGCUUGUGUUUUCUGACCCUGCAUCUUCAUGCACAACGGAGCAAGACACAAGCUUGGGAGAUGGAAGUUCUAAUGCAAACAGAGUCUCCCAUGCAUGAGACUCAGACCAAGAAGAGUGAGAAAUGGAGUAUUGGAUGUACUUUAAGACUAAAGCACCUUCUGCAGUCCUGAAGGGUGAAGAACAGACACUGUGAUACAGUCGUUGUGGUUUAUUGAUCCUAUUAACAUUAUCUUGUGGUAAAUCAAUGCUAGAGUUUCAGUCUUGCAGGAGACAUGAAAAUGAGAAGAUGAAAAAACAUGCCAAGGGAAAUGGUUUCCUGAUGGGAAGAGAGAUGAGCAUAAACAACAGGAUCAAGGCAUGUGUAGAGCAAAGAGAGGACUGAGUGUGGGGCCUUGCCAAAAGUCAUCCUUGGUGUUCAACGUGGACCUCUGAAAGCCUCUUCACUAUCUGG